GCUAACUCUCUUUUCCGACUCAGCCCGCCUGUACCCAGGUGAUUAAAAAGCUUUAUUGCUCACACAAAGCCUCUUUGGUGGUCUCUUCACACAGACCCAUGUGAAAUUUGGUGCCGUGACUCAGAUCGGGGGACCUCCCUUGGGAGAUCAAUCCCUGGUCCUCCUGCUCUUUGCUACAUGAGAAAGAUCCACCUACGACCUCUGGUCCUCAGACCAACCAGUCCAAGGAAUAUCUCACCAAUUUUAAAUUGGAAGACAGCAAUGUCAGACCUCUGAACCCAAGCAUGCACGUAUUCAUCCAGAUUGCCUGAAGUAACUGAAGAAUGACAAAAGAAGUGAAAAUGGCCAGUUCCUGCCUUAAUUGAUGACAUCACCUUGUGAAAUUCCUUUUCCUGGCUCAUCCUGGCUCAAAAGCUCCCCCACUGAGCACCUUAUGACCCCCACCCCUGCCAGCCAGAGAACAACCUCCUUUGACUGUAAUUUUCCACUACCUACCCAAAUCCUAUAAAACAGCCCCACCCCUAUCUCCCUUCACUGGCUUUCUUUUCGGACUCAGCUUGCCUGCACCCAGGUGAAAUAAACAGCUUUAUUGCUCACACAAA
rnacentral:lncRNA from 1 species